rnacentral:rRNA from 1 species
UACGUAGGGGGCUAGCGUUGUCCGGAAUCAUUGGGCGUAAAGCGCGUGUAGGCGGUUCGGUAAGUCCGCUGUGAAAGUCGGGGGCUCAACCCUCGGAAGCCGGUGGAUACUGUCGGACUAGAGUACGGAAGAGGCGAGUGGAAUUCCUGGUGUAGCGGUGAAAUGCGCAGAUAUCAGGAGGAACACCGAUUGCGAAGGCAGCUCGCUGGGACGUUACUGACGCUGAGACGCGAAAGCCAGGGGAGCGAACGGG